CACCCACGUCUGCCCCUCCCACAUUCCCUCUCUAUCUCUCUCUCUCACUCUUUGCUCUUCUUCUUGAACAGAACGAAAAAACCUACCCUCUCUAUCACAACUGUCCUUCUUCUCACCCUUUGCGUCACCUCCUCUUCAUCGACACCAACCCUCUUCCUUCUUCGUCACGCUCCUCUUCAUCAACCCUUCAACCCUUCGAUUUCAAUUUAUAGCUCGCAAGACCUUUUGCAGUUUCUUCAUUGCAAUUUCCUGUGGAAUGAAACUGAAAUGCCUUGAUGUGCUUGAAUUCUUCUUUCCUGAUAUUGUCCUGUGAAUUACCAAACAGAAAUUUACGACUGUAGAGCAGGAACUGAACUGAUUCUCACCAAGUUGUUUGGUCUCUCUUGUAGUCACUCUUUGCAAGCUGGAUAGAUAUUUAGAAAGGUAUGUUUGCCAUCUUCAUUCAUUAUUUGCUUUUUAAAUAUGCAUGUUAGAAAUUUUCUAGAGGAUUGAGUACAUGUUCAGAGCAAAGUACCCUGUUUGUAGGCCCAAUGCUAUAUAUAUAUAUAUAGGUACUUGACCUAUCCUUUUAGUAGUGAUAAGCAUUACCCUAUGACUUAUUUUUCUGGAGCUCUAUUUUGCAAUUGGGAAACAUUUAAGAGGACAUUGAAUGGUAAUGUGGCUUCAAAGUGAUUAGUAUUAACCAUUUUAAUGUUCUUUUAUGUAUUUGUUAACCAUUGUAUGUACCUGAUAAUUCUGUUCUCAACACUGUCAUUGCAUAAUUGGUUAGACUAAUCACCAAGUCUUGCUCAUAUAAGAAUGUCAUCUUGCUAUUUCACUGAUAUUUAUCAUUGUCAAUUUAACUCAAAAGAUUAUGCCCUAUGCCCUCAUAUUUAAAAAUUUGGUUGGACUGUUCUUGAAUUUUUAUUUUGACAAAAAGUGUGUAAAUUCGAUGUGAGGUCGCAAAAUUGAUGACAAAGAUUAGUCAAAAUUUUUAUUUGGAACUAAAAUUCUCAUUUACAAAAGUUUAUUCCUUGGAAGUUGGUUAUGCUUUAUUCUUUCUUGAAAAAAUAAUCAAUAAGUCCUAUUUUGCUUUUAAUAAAACCAUUUAGUCCUAUAAAUUUUCAAUAAUACCAUUGAAAAAUUUAUGAAUUCACCACUGUAUUAUUUUCUGUGACUAUUGAAGGAAUUUUAAUAAAUUUUUGCCCUCUUGGAUUGUCUACCAUAAAAUAAAAUAAAAUAAAAAGUCAUAGUUUCUAAUAAUAGAAAAUGAUCGUUUGAUCUGAUUGUUAGUUAUGUUUUGUUUAAUAUAAUUUUCAUAAGUAAAACUGUUUAUGAAAUUAUUAUUCAUAUUAAAUGAGAAGGGUAAAAUUAUAAUCAAAUUUAUAAAGUUGAAUUUUGUGAGAGUUGUCUACAAUAAAACUUGAUAGGAAUACUAAUAUUAAACGCAAAAUAGGACUUAUCGAUAAUUUUUCCCUGUUUGGUUUUAUAGUUUUAAUGUAACUCAGUGAGUUAAACUUUCAUUUUUAGAUUGUUUCUAUAUAUAUGGCUUUUGAAUUUUGUUUUGGCCUUCCAAAUGCAUUGUAUGUUUACAAAUCUGUCAUUUCAUGCAAUACCUAGCUGUAGUAUUUGUUGUUUUGUCUUCUUGUACUAGAACAAUCGACUACCACUAAAUUCAAAUGUGGGCAUGUUUUUUAAAAUGUAUAUAUAUCUAUGCAUAUCAUUGCAAGCAUGUGUAUAUGUGCCUACUACCUAUGGUCAAUUAUAAAGUUGUUCGUGUGUCAUGUAUUGGAGAAAAAAGUUGGUGAAUGCAAAUCACAAACAUAUAUUUGGCAUACCAUUCAAUUAUGAACUUACCUCAUGAAACUGUUUUGAUUUGUCAAUUAGAUAUCAUACUUCAUGUAACCAAUCAGGAUUUUUUGAUUUGUCAAUGGAAAUAUAAAGCAUACAAUUGUUAAACAAUUGUUGCUUAAGAGUCUAUUUUUAUGUCCAGCAAUGUUUUUUAUUUUUUUAAAGGUCAACAUUGAAUCAUUCAUCUUAAAAGCUUUUGCCGAUACAAACUUGGAGAUUACCUUGGUGAGAUAAUCAGAUCGAUUCAUUUUAGAAAGUAUAGAGAUUGCUAUGUAUCAAUUUAUUUUAAAAAGUUUUUUAAUGUUGGUGUUUUCGGUUCUAAGUUAGUUUUUUUAUCAAUUCGGUCCAUCAUUUUAUUAUACCUUCAUAUUAGUUAUUAACGUAGGAGGUAUGUCAUGUUAAUGAUUUCAUCCAUAACCACUCUUUUCAAUUUCUGUUAAUAUCCAUAACACUUGCGUGGUUAGAAAUUUGAAGCUUAUACAUUAGUAUUAAUGCUUCUACUUCAAGUGCGUUGCUUGAAUUUUUGGUAAUGAUAUGUGACGUACUUUUUCUAAUUUCAUCUUUGGGGUUUGCGUGCUUCCCGCAAGAGUUGUCCAUGCGUGUUAUGGAGGAAUACGACAAUGAUCUUUGUUUUGUUUUUGCAUCUAUGUAGCCCACUAAAAAAAAAAAAAUCACAAAUUAUCAAUACUUAGCAAAUUUUCCUUCAACAUGGUAUAAGUAUUGCAUUUUGUUAUGCUCAUGUUUUUGUACAUUGAUAACUAAUAGGUUCAAAUCAAGCAAUAUAAGAUUGCUUGAACCAUGGGCAUGUUCUUUCGUGCGAAGCGCGACACCUCGCAACUAGUCUAAUAUAUAUAUGUGUGUGUGUGUGUGUAAGAUUUCUGAAGAUUUUGUAUUAAGGCUUAUAAAUACCUUAGCUACCUAAGUGUUUUAAGUAAGUGAAAUCAAAUAUUGAGAGUGAAGAAUUUCUCUUCCUUCUUUCAAUCUCUGUAGCAUUUGUGUGAUCUCUAAUAUCAGCAACAAUAACAUGGCUUUAAUUAUGAUGUUUUUAUUCUUUCAAUUAUUACAUGGUUUGUCUUGUGCGACAAUCAUGCCAUACAUUGUCCUUAUAGAUGGUGGAUUAAUGCCAAGUGCAACCAAUAGACGUGCAUGGCAUGUGUCCAUGCUAGAUGCAGUUUGUCAGCGGCUAAACAUUUCAUACGAGUACUCCCACAUUGUACAUGGAUUUGCAGCUUCCAUGACACGUGAGGUUGAUAAAAUCUCUUUGUUUCCAGGGGUUAUGGUAGUUGAGGAAGACACACUCGAUACUCAACUGCACAUGACAUGAAUGCCUAAUUUUCUUGGCCUCGCCACAUCCUAUGGACUAUGUCCCCAUGCUGGAUAUGGUGAUAGUAUCAUAAUUGGGUUUGUCGACACGGAGAAUUUGGUUGGAGAAUGUAGGCUUCCGUGACGAAGGACUGUUGCCCCUUAACAGCAGCAAAUGUUGAGGAAUUUGCCAAGAAUGCAACAAUUUCUCUGCCGAUGACUGCAACAAUAAAAUCAUUGGUGCCCGUUUCUUUGCCUCUAGAAUCAAAACUCUAAUCAGUCGGCGAGUCGAUGGUGGUGGGGAGUACAGGUCUCCACGAGAUACUACAGGCCAUGGAUCAGCUGUUGCUUCAGUUGCUCUGGAGCUGAGAUUUCUAAUGUCGGUGUGCUGGGUUUUACAUACGGAGAUGCACAAGGAAUAGCCCCCAAGGCCCGUAUUGCGGUCUACAAAGCUGCUUGGAGGAAAAUCUGUACUUUAACCGAUACUCUUGCUGCAAUUGAUGUUGCCAUCUCUGAUGGUGUAGAUAUCUUGUCAAUCUCCAUGGGAAAAAGCUCUCACAAGCCAUUUUACAAUGAUGUUUACAUGAUUAGUGCGUUGAAAGCUGCUCAAAAUGACAUUUUUGUGACAUUCGGGGCGGGGAACAUGGGCUCGACACCAUCAACAGUAGUCAACUCAGCUCCCUAGGUGACCACUAUUGGCUCCAGCACCAUUGAUAGAACCUAUCUUGCAAAGGUCCGACUUGAAAAUGGAGAACAAGUCCCCGACAACUCACUUUGUUGUUGUAAAUCAGUCACUGAUGAUGCUUUUUCCCUCCAAUUCUAUAGCACUUGCACCUAUGACAACAUACCUUCAGAUUCUAUCAAGUGUAAAAUCUUAAUCUGCAAUGCGAGCGACAUUGCUGCUGAUGUCAUUGCCUUCACUGUCACAGAGGCCCAAUGUGUCGGAUAUAUCCAAUUGAAUGUGAAGGGGGACGAGGACUUGAGUAUUUUUCUUAUCUGGAACUUACCUACGGUUUCAAUAAGUUAUGGGCAUUCUGUUGAUUUUUUGUUAUAUAUCAGUAGCUCGAAGAAUGCAACAUCAAGCCUCAUUUUUUAAUGCAAAAUAGUAGUUGGGGAGCAUAGGGCCUUGAUGAUUUCAGGAUUUUCUUCGAGGGGCCUAACGCAAUUGUCCUCGAAAUUCUGAAGCCAGACCUUUUAGCCCCCGGGUAGCUAUCAUGGCUUCGUGGACAAAUGUCAAACAUGUUGAAUACAAUUUCGUCUUAGGCACCUCAAUGUUGUGCGCUGUUCUUGCUGGCUUCAUAGCGCUUAUGCGCAACAUUUAUUCAGAUUGGUCCCCGGCUGCAAUUAGAUCUGCAAUGAUGACAACGUCAACGUCACUUGACCACAAUAACUGUCCGAUAUCCAGCAACAAUUUUCAACAACUAGGAACUCAGUUGGACUUUGGUGUUGGUCAUAUUUCCUCAUAAUUGGCUACAGAUCUUGGGCUAAUAUUUGAUAUUGAUGGUAUGGAGUACAUAGACUUCUUGUGUACUUUGAAUUACUCAGCUUCGCAACUCUACAGAAUUGUGGAGGAGCAAGUAUUCUGUGAAGAACCAGCUUUUCACCUAGUGUCUUGGCUCAAUUAUUUAUCAUUUUUGACCUUUUUAACAAGCUGAGGAGAGCAACGAGACUAUGGAGGACCGUGACACACGUGGCCGAGUUAACGGAAACAUGCACAUUGAUAGUGGUUAAUUCAAAUCCAGAUAUUAUGAUUUCUAUUGUUCUGAAACAAUUGCAAUUUACCAGAGCGGGUGAGAAAAAGAGUUAUUCGAUUGAAAUGAGUUUUUUUUUACUCUGAUGGACCUAACAGAUUAUAUCUUCAUGUUUCUAUGGAGGUUCUUGUUGUUGGAUAUGUAAUCUGGGAGAGUUGUCAUUAUGUUCGGGUUCUUUUUACAGUGUUGUGGUCAUUUGAGUAGUUCUUGCAAUAAAAUAAAAUUUUUUACGAAUUUCUGCUACUUGAAUUAUUUUGUUUGUUGAAAGAUCGAAUCUCAGAAUUCAAUUAGCAAAAAUUUGUAGAAAAUUUCAUUUUAUUGCAAAAACUACUCAAAUGACCACACCACUGUAAAGGGAGCUGAACAGAAUGAUAACAACUCUCCCAGAUUACAUAUCCAAUAGCAAGAACCUCCAUGGGAACAUGAACAUCCAAUCUAUUAGGUCCAUUAGAGUAAAAAAGCUCAUUUCAAUCGAAUAACUAUUUUUCUCACCUGCCCUGGUAAAUUGCAAUUGCUUUGGAACAACAUAAAUCAUAAUAUCCGAAUUUGAAUUAACCACUGUCAAUGUGUAUGUUUCCCUUGACUCUGCCACGUGUGUCACGGUCCUCCACAAUCUGGCAUUCUCCUCAGCUUGUUAAAAAUGGUCGAAAAUGAUGGAUAAUUGAGCCGAGACACUUGGUGAAAAGCUGGUUCUUCACAGAUUACUUGCUCUCCCACAAUUUUGUAGAGUUGCGAAGUAGGGUAAUUCAAAGUACACAAGAAGUCUAUGUACUCUAUACCAUCAAUAUCAAAGAUUAGCUCAGGAUCUGUAGCCAAUUGUGGGGAAAUAUGACCAGCAUCAAAGUCCAAUUGAGUUCCUAGCUGUUGAAAAUUGCUACUGGAUAUCGAACGGUUACUGUGGUCGAGUGACGUUAUCAUCAUUGUAGAUCUAAUUAUUGCCAGGGACCAAUCUGAAUGAAUGUUGCGCAUAAGCGCUGCGAAGCUAGCAACAAUAGUGCACGACACUGAGGUGCCUGAGACGAAAUUAUAUUCAUCGUGUCUGAUAUCAUUCUCAAUCAUAGUACGGGGCAUGACAUUUGUCCACGAAGCCAUGAUAGCUUCCCCGGGGGCUAAAAGGUCUGGCUUCAGAAUUUCGAGGACAAUUGUGUUGGGCCCCCCUUGAAGAAAAUCCUAAAAUCAUUAGGGCCUUAUGCUCCCCAACUACUGUUUUGCAUUAAAAAAUGAGGCUUGCUGUUGCAUUCUCCGAGCUAUUGAUAUAUAACAAAAAAUCAACAGAAUGCACAGAACUUAUUGAAACUGUAGGUAAGUUCCAAAUAAGAGGAAUACUCAGGUCCUCAUACCCCUUCACAUUCAAUUGGAUAUAUCCGACGCCUUGGGCCUCUGUGAUAGUGAAGGCAAUGGCAUCAGCAGCAAUGUCACUCGCAUUGUAGAUUAAGAUUUUACCCUUGAUAGAAUCUGAAGGUAUGUUUUCAUAGGUGCAAGUGUUAUAGAAUUGGAGAGGAAAAGCAUCAUCAGUGACUGAUUUACCACAGUAGAGAGAGUUGUCGGGGACUUGUUCUCCAUUUUCGAGUCGGACCUUUGCAGGAUAGGUUCUGUCAAUAAUGCUGGAGCCAAUAGUGGUCACCCAGGGAGCCGAGUUAACUAUUGUUGAUGGUGUCAGGCCCAUGUUCCCUGCGCUGAAUGUCACAAAAAUGUCGUUUUGAGCAGUUUUCAACGUACUAAUCAUGUAAACAUCAUUGUAAAAUGGCUUGGGGGAGUUGUUUCCCAUGGAGACUGACAAGAUAUCUACACCAUCAAAGAUGGCAGCAUCAAUUGCAGCAAGAGUAUCGGUUAAAGUAUAGAUCUUCCACCAGCAAGCUUUGUAGACCGCAAUACGGGCCUUGGGGACUAUUCCUUGUGCAUCUCCGUAUGCAAAAUUAGCACAUUUUUAAAGUAAUUAAUUUUUUUGGAAUUAAUUUUUAUAUGGAAUAAUCGUUUUUAUCUUUCAAUUGGAAAUACCUUGUGUAUGUUUCAAUUGAGUUAUAUAAAUUGAAUUUAAAAUAUUCUAAAGAAAGCAUUGGUGGAGGAUCCUUGAUGCCUUAGCACCCUUUUUAUAAUCACCUUAUCUUAUCUUUUAAUUAAUUAUUUUUCUCAAAUUAUUCAACCAUUUCAAAAAUUCAAAAUCAUAUUUUUCUUUACUUUAUUUGAGUGGUCAGUAAUUAUUUUGAACAAAUUGGUCCUUGUGGAUUUGACUUCAGACUCACCGAGUUAUACUACUUCGCGACAUCCUGCACUUGGGAUUGCAAUAUAAAAGUCGCAACAGGUUUUUGGCACCGUUGCCGGGGAUCUGCAUCAUUGUUUGAAAAAGUACCAAGGAAGUUUGCAUUGCAAUCUCUUGCAAUUUUGGUAAACUCGUUCCACUUUUUUUUUUUUUUUUUUUUUUUUUUUUUUUUUAUAAGAAGGAA